GGAGCAUGGGCGUCCACAGAGGGGGGCAAGAGGGGUCAGUGCCCCCCCCUGGGACCAGCAGACUGACCAUCUGUUUAUUCGGGCAUUUGCCCUAGGGGCCGCUCUGUAUUUUUGUAAUGUGGGCCGCUCCUGAUCUAUAAUGUUCAUUUCAAACUGUGGGCUCUAGGACCGCUCCUCCGUCCCAGCUCCCACUGUGGCUCCGCCCCUUCCACUCGUCUCCGUUCUCAUGCUGUGCUGUGUGCAGGCCUGCCUGCCUGCCAUCAGGGGGGAACAAGGAAGAAAGUUUUGGGCCAGGCAGGAUUUAGGCUCAAAGGGGGAUUAGCCAGCCCCCCUUACGAGCGUGGACAUCACUGAUGCCGAAGACGGAAGUACAGGAACUGAUGUGGUUGCAACCCUUGUGGAAAAGUGUGUCUGCUGUUGAAGGGAAUGAAUUUAAGGGACUAUGUUGUAAAGCUUCAUUCCCUGGAUUGUGCAAGAAUCAGAGAUUCUGAAAGAACGAAUGCAAUAAACACUAAACAUUAUUGAUCUGCUUUUUAUUUGUUGUUGCUGGACCUUUUGCCAGUAUAAACCCAUAUGACCUAUAGAUACACAUAUGGAUAAAAAAGUGUUGACCUACAACUCCAUCACCACAGGGAAUGCUGGCCUUUUAUCCAUAUGGCUUUUAUCCAAAUCUUCAAUAAGGUCCUUUGACUUGGCUGACUUUGUUGCCGUCAGUGUGUGACAUGCAAAAGUGAAGGCAUGAGUGCUUUACAACCCAACUAGAGUUCCUCUGCAACAACAGGCACAUUGUGAGAAAUUUGCGAGAUGAUCCAGUGGUGCCAAGCGCAAUUAUGCAAGGGAAUCAGGUCCAGACUACAUACGAGAUUUUAGAACAAAACUGCCAUACUUUACCAGUUACAUCGGAGAAGUGAUGGCACUUAUAGAGAGAGCGCUGGUGAUUUGAGUUACCAGUUACCCCUCCACUUCUACCCAAGGGGUCAUACGUUGGAGGCAUAGGCUGAGGAGUGUCUGACUUCAGCUACCUCAUUAGAAGGGAACUUCUCAAUAACUAUCACAUCAAGGAACAGUAUCUGCCUUCUCUGUGCCAGCCUGAUCAAAAUGACAGCUUUUGGUGGGGCCUUCCAGCUUUCUGGGGCCACCGGUAGCCUGCUGAUGUCUUACUACCAAAUGGCUCUCUCUGCCAGGCUCUGCUGCUUCCUCUUCCUGCCUGCCAUUCCCAGGCUGCUGAGUAACUUCCUGCCUCCCUGAGAUCUUAACUGGAAUCAAACUCAAGCUACAAAGAAAAAGACAUGAUUUGUAAAAAAAAAAAUAAUAUUUGAUUAAAACUGAGCCUAUGGAAGAUGGCAUUUCCGUAAUUUGAAGUCUUCUGGAUAAUGGGUUCCCAAUAAUGGCUCCCAUACCUGUAUUACUUAAUUUUCCUUCAUUUUGUCAGUCCGUAAUAUCCUCAAUUCAUUAUCUCCCGAGCAAGUUGUGUUGGGUGAUUGGUUGGUUUUGCACACAUUUUUCUUUUGUGUAGCUUGUGAAGUAUAGUUGAUGUGUCCAGACAAGUACUAUGUUGUAUAACGCUUGUUACAAAACCCUUAUUGUACUGACUUUAACAUCAUAUGGCAAUACCAAUUAUUUUCCAAGUAAGCUUCCCAAGUUGUUGUGUUGACUAGUGUCAAAAUCACAAUAUGUGUGUCUAAGCUUAAAGGGAACAUAACCAGGAUAGAUGUGAAAAAGAAAGAAACUGCACUUUUUUUUAUACUUGUUUAGGACAACAUGAGAAGAACUUUACUGCUAAUUAGUACAUAAAAUAAUUGUCUAAAAUGUGAUUACUGAAAGUUCCCAAAACCUAAUUUAAGAUGAGCGAUAACAACUUGCUAUAAUGCUCCACUAAAAAGGAGAGACAUACUGUGCCCUAGAGGGGUUAAUGACUGUAAAUGUUAUCAAGGCAUUAAUAGUGCUGAUUAAUGGGAAAUGAAGAGGGGCAAUGAACAGCAAGAAAAUUCCUAAUGAGAUGGAAAGUGAAUGUUCUGCAGCUGUAGGUAUGAGCACCACACUGAUGUCUCCUGGAAGGCUGACUCGUAUAACUGCCUUCACUGAACACACCGCAAUAAUGAAUUUUUCAUGCACAAAAUUGCACCUCCAGGGAUACAAGUUAUCCUGUCCCAAAUGGGUCAGUGACCUGCCAAAGACUUAGACAGCAGGAAGAGUAGAACCUAAUGAAACACAGUCGAUCAGAGAGAUAUCAUUAAAGACAUAAGGGGAUCAAUCUCUUGACUCUUAAAGACUGAAAACUUCCAUUUCGCCCACUAUGGAGCAAUCUCUGACCUGUAGAGCAUAAGGCAUCAGUCUUGCAUAACACACAGUGUAGAUUUCAUAGCAGCUUAGAAUAUUAAUGCUAAAUGGAAACAUUCCUUUAUUCAAUGGGUUUGAAUGUAUCUUGAUUAUCUUUUAUGAAAUCACCCAGCACUCCUUCCAAAUGCUGUGCUGAGUGUAAUAUGGAUGCUUUAUAACUUCUACAGGAUAUUCUGUUAUCUAAAUGUUUCUAAGAGAAUCUAAAAAAACAGCUAUAGUAGGCCAUGUGCAGGAAUAACUAGGGCUUUGUAAUUAUUAUUUUGUUAAUUGCAUUUAAAUGGACACAUAUUGGUGCCCUUGACUGCAACGAAAUCUAAAAAACUUGCAGGUUUCGGCGACAAAUCUGAAAAAGUUGCAGUUCUUGGCGACAAAAAUUCAUAAGAUUCAGAUUUUUUUUAUGUUUUUGUUGGUAAAUAACCCUAUAAACUAUGUUCCAUGGAAUUGUACUGAAAAAGAAUUUAGAUGAUGAGAAUAAAUACAGUAUGAAACAUGAUUACCAAUAACUAUACUCCAGUAUGUCCAAAGUCAGGCCUGAGGGGCAAUUGCGGCCCAUUUUCAAAUUUCAGCCUCCGUCAUGAAAUUAAUAAUAAUGCAGCCAUCAAGCACAGUGCGAUCUGGAAUCACUUAGCUGUAGCAAUAAUAUUUGGGCACAUGAUUAGUGAAAUGAUCUGCCACUUGGUCUAUACUGCUGCCUGU